UACGUAGGGUCCGAGCAUUAUCCGGAAUGACUGGGUGUAAAGAGUUGCGUAGGCGGCUUAGCAAGUAGAUGGUGAAAUCUGGUGACUCAACCAUUCAGACUAUUAUCUAAACUACUAAGCUCGGGAUCGUUAGGGGUAGCUGGAAUUUCUAGUGUAGGAGUGAAAUCCGUAGAUAUUAGAAGGAACACCGAUAGCGUAGGCGGGCUACUGGGGCGAUUCUGACGCUAAGGCACGAAAGCGUGGGGAGCAA
rnacentral:rRNA from 1 species